UACGGGGGGGGCAAGCGUUGUUCGGAAUUACUGGGCGUAAAGGGCGCGUAGGCGGUUUGCUAAGUUGAAUGUGAAAACUCUGGGCUUAACCCAGAGCCUGCAUCCAAAACUGGCAGACUUGAGUACUGGAGGGGAAAGCGGAAUUCCUGGUGUAGCGGUGAAAUGCGUAGAUAUCAGGAGGAACACCUGUGGUGUAGACAGCUUACUGGACCACUUCUGACGCUGAGACACGAAAGCGUGGGUAGCAAACAGG
rnacentral:rRNA from 1 species